UGUUCAGAGCCGUGGUGAGUGACAGCAUCAAUUCCAGCAUGCCAGCACUGAGCGGGUGUACGUGUGAAUGACAGGACCUGCUUUGGCAGAUGUCAUCCAGGAGCUGCUGAAUGGUGAGCUGGUCCGUCUUGACACCUGUGCGACUCUUCAUCUCCAGAAAGAGGCCUAUGUCAUCUCGCGGCGGGUCGGCGAUGCUGCGACUCCACAGGGUCUGAGUGAUGCCCAGCAGCUCCCGCACGCAUGUGGAGAUGGCCUGCAGAGGCGCACAGCAGGGGGCGGGGAGAAAGUGCUGUGAUGGAGCUUACUACAUACGUUACAUUAACUUUUGUUCAGUGUGCCACUUUGGAGAUAAGAAAAGGCUCUAGAGGAAGAUGAAGUGUGCAUACGCCUGCCUCCACCUUGAUAUUUCCACACCCAACUAAUUUAGUUGUCAUCUCAGAAAACGAUAAGGCGCAUGGGCAUAAACAGAAUGUAUACAAUGCUCCUCUUUGCUGUGUUAUUUCUGGAUAAGAUACUCUCUUCAGUGUAAGGACAGCUUAUUCCAUGAGGAAUAUAAUUGAUUUGGCACCAGCGGCACACUUUGAUUUGGCACCAGUACAUGCUGCCCACUCAAUAGCAGCAUCAUCCAGCAAAAUGUAGCCUUAAGAUGCUGGACACGUCAUUAGGUACACCUGCACACUCCAUUGAUGUCUGAGCUGUGCCAAGAUCACUGCCUUAACAAAGAUGCAAAUGCUGCUUAAAAUUACACAAUGUUACCACAUUCUCUCAAAUAGUGACCUCAGCUCUAGAAUGCUGCUUAAAAUUACAUAAUGUUACCACAGCUCUAGUGGACGUCACACCUUGGCUAGAUAUCCGCUUUUCACUCUUAAGACUUGAAUUAUACCAUAUAUAGAAAUCCCAACUUGAUGUUCCUCAUGGACAUGACAAUGAGGAAAUAAUAAAAAUUGUGAAUUAAUUUAAAUCCGAGACCUCAA